AUUGAACGCUGGCGGCAGGCCUAACACAUGCAAGUCGAGCGAGCGGCGGACGGGUGAGUAAUGUCUGGGAAACUGCCUGAUGGAGGGGGAUAACUACUGGAGACGGUAGCUAAUACCGCAUACCAUCAGAAGGGCCCAGAUGGGAUUAGCUAGUAUGUGGGGUAAUGGCUCACCUAGGCGACGGUCCCGAGCUGGUCUGAGUGGAUAACCAGCCACACUGUAACUGAGACACGGUCCAGACUCCUACGGGAGGCAGCAGUGGGGACUAUUGCACAAUGGGCGCAAGCCUGAUGCAGCCAUGCCGCGUGUAUGAAGAAGGCCUUCGGGUUGUAAAGUACUUUCAGCGAGGAGGCGUUACUCGCAGAAGAAGGACCGGCUAACUCCGUGCCAGCAGCCGCGGUAAUAC
rnacentral:rRNA from 1 species